GUUCAAAAUGACUAAUAGUAAUAAUAAUUUUAGUAGUAAUAAUAGACCAUGGAAGACUGGAUAUUCCAAAUGAUAAAAUUACUGGAUUUGAUCCCCUUCAAAGUAAUAAAAUUAUCAGAAUUGACCAAUUUCAUGGGAAACACCCACUGCCAUGACAUCACAAAAUGGCGUCUGUACAGCGGAAAACAAAUCACAUAUGGUCGGAUGCUUGAGUGUUCUACCAUGACGUCUCUUCAAAAUCUAAAUAAAUAGAUUUACAGUAUAAUUAGGAUGAUCAAAUUUUCAUAGAAAAAAUAAAGGAC
rnacentral:lncRNA from 1 species